rnacentral:ncRNA from 1 species
AAGUUAUUAAGAAAGGUGGAGGGAAUAGACCCUGUGAAACCUUAGCAACCCUUUGAUUUAUUAAAGAAGGUGCUAAAUUCUAUCCCGAUUAAUCGGGAGAAGAUAACUC